rnacentral:rRNA from 1 species
CCCUUAGAUGUUCUGGGCCGCACGCGCGCUACACUGACGAAUGCAACGAGCUUAUAACCUUGGCCGAAAGGUCUGGGUAAUCUCCAAAUUUCGUCGUGAUGGGGAUAGAUUAUUGCAAUUAUUAAUCUUCAACGAGGAAUGCCUAGUAAGCGCAAGUCAUCAGCUUGCGUUGAUUACGUCCCUGCCCUUUGUACACACCGCCCGUCGCUCCUACCGAUUGAAUGGUCCGAUGAAGCGCUCGGACCGCGGCCUCUUGACGGUUCGCUGUCGAUUGGCUGUGGGAAGUUCGUUAAACCUUAUCAUUUAGAGGAAGGAGAAGUCGUAACA